rnacentral:ncRNA from 1 species
GGGAGGCUUGCGACAUCGAUGUCGGUUCUUCGCAUCCUGGCCGUGCAGCAGCGGCCAAGGGUAGGGUUGUUCGCCCGUUAAAGCGGAUCGUGAGCUGGGUUUAGACCGUCGUGAGACAGGUCGGACGCUAUCUUGCGGGAGUGUUGGAUGCCUGAGGGGAAGGUAGCUUCAGUACGAGAGGAACGAGUUGCCGGCGCCUCUAGUGUACCGGUUGUCCGAGAGGGCAUAGCCGGGUAGCCACGCGCCGGUCAAUAAGGCCUGAAAGCAUCUAAGGCCGAAGUGACUCCCGAUAAUAGGCAUCCGCUCCUGGUCGGCUUCCGGGACUGGAGACAGUCACGGAGAGCCAGGACAAAGGCAGGGGCUAGAAGACCCCGUUGAUGGACUGGGGGUGUAAGCACGGAGCUUCGGCGACGUGUUCAGCCCACCAGCACCAAUAGCCUGAGGCGUCGAGCCU